AUUGAACGCUGGCGGCAGGCCUAACACAUGCAAGUCGAGCGCGCGGCGGACGGGUGAGUAAUGUAUGGGGAACUGCCCGAUAGAGGGGGAUACCUACUGGAAACGGUGGCUAAUACCGCAUACUAUCGGAUGAACCCAUAUGGGAUUAGCUAGUAGGUGGGGUAACGGCUCACCUAGGCGCCUAUCUCUAUCUGGUCUGAGAGGAUGAUCAGCCACACUGGGACUGAGACACGGUCCAUACUCCUACGGGAGGGAGCAGUGGGGAAUAUUGCACAAUGGGCGCAAGCCUGAGGCAGCCAUGCCGCGUGUAUGAAGAAGGCCUUAGGGGUGUAAAGUACUUUCAGCGGGGAGGCGUUACCCGCAGAAGAAGCACCGGCUAACUCCGUGCCAGCCGCAGCGGUAAUAC
rnacentral:rRNA from 1 species